rnacentral:lncRNA from 1 species
UACUCUCUUGCCUUCUGAUCUGGAGUCCUUUCACACCGUCCUGCCUCAAGUGCAUCAGCAUAUCAGCCAUGCUCAGCUUUUAACUCACUGUCUCAGGCCUGCUCUUGCCUGUGUCCUUGAGAGCACGGCGAUCCAACAUGACACACAACACACACUACCUCAGCUAAACACACUGGAGUGGGGGUGGGCAGAGCUCUGCUCUGAACUUUGAAUUUUCCAUGGUUUGGCAAUAGAUGUGGGUGCUGAUUCACGCAUGCAUAUUGUGCAUUCUGAAAGGGAAGGCACCAGGGCUUCCCUGAUGCUCCAGGUGGCUCUGGCCUCCCGGAGAACAGGACAGGCUUGUCAGCCAGCAGCACUUUUCAAGCUUAUGAACCAGCAGCUGUUCACAGCCACCUCCUUUGCAGAGCACCCAGAUUGCAGGUUUAUUAGCUGUUGUUAAUUGUCCUUCUGGAUGGUGAUGAAAUACAGAGUGAAGAAUAAACUAAAUGGUAAUAGCUGUUUCUUUUCUUUUGGGUGCUGGCAUCGGAUGCAUCUUGUAAUGUCAGUUGCACAUUGUUGAAGUGUGGGGUGAGUAAAGUGUCCACUGAAAGGUCAUUGCUGGAGAAACUGGAUGCAAUUGCCUUUGGAAAGUGGAUGUAUUCGUUUCAGGACCCUGCUUAUUAAGCUUCCAUAGAGAAGGAAAAAGCUUUCUGUGCAUGAUUCUUUUCACAAACAUUGUGAACACCUCUCUUCAUCUCUGUCUGUUCUUUUAGUUCUGCACUAGCUCACAGAUAACUGCAUUUGCACCCUGAGGAGGCUUUGGUCAGGCAGAGGCCUAAGUGAGGUCCUCUGGUUCCAUGUCCAGUCCUUAAGACUGACUGUCUUUGCAGCCUUAGGCCAACAUUUUUUGAGCAACAGUCAGUUAGGCCAACAUUUUUUGAAUGUUGAUAUCUGAAGUUAGACAUCCAAAAUUUUUAAUUAAGCAUGUAAGUAGGACUGCUCUGAUUUUUAUAAAGGCUGACUCCCACGGUGUCUUUAUGUGUUACAUUGUGUGGGGGUUUGCAGCAUUACUGAAAAACUAUAACAUAAAUCAGCCAAGUUUGAAAAUGUCAGCCUUGAUGUACACACUAGAAUUUUUUGCUCCUUUGUUCAGCUAACCCAAAAAGGCUUGCCUUGCUGAAGAGGAAUGCAGAAGGACUAAUGGACAGUGUGUUUUGAUCAAUGAGUAACUGAUAUUUUCUAGUUUAUAAAUAAAGACAGUAAUUAUAACAAUAUAAGAAGGGAGAUUUCUUCAAACCCAUUGCCCAAACAUAAUGCAGUUGUCAUGUGCAAAUGUAGCAAUCUAAUACAUUUCUGACUAUCAAGACUGUGCUGUUAAACACAGCCUGGUUUGAUCCACCCUCUACCAAAGCAGAUGAACUGCAGUUUCUUAAUGAAUAGUUAGACAGCUUCUUAGAGACAUGUGCAAUGUCAUACUGAUAAGAUAAAGGCUCCUUUGUAGUACUCUGGAUUCAUAAGCAUGCUGGCUUGAUGGACUGGAGCAGAAUGUUGGAGCAUUUGAAACCAUAAUUUCCACUGUUUUGGUAAAGUUUUGGGGCCACAUUCCAAUCUCAUUUUCUUGACAUAACUCUGGCAUAGAGAACAGAAGAGCUUACAUGAGCAUCUAACUUCCUUUUCAUCACAUGGGGACCAAAGUGUAGAACUAUCCUUUUAAAUUCCUCUGGUCAGGGUUUACAGUGGCAAGGCCACAUUAAUUUUGCUAUUUUGUUAUAUAUUAAUAAAAAGGGAGUGAGUUCUGUGGUACACUUUAAAGGACUAGAUUUGAUGGUAGCAUGUAAAGUUGUAGCUUUCAGCUUGUUACAAUUAUGCUCCAGAAUGUGCAUGUUAAAAUAGGAGUUCCCAGUGAAUAUAGUAUUGUUUGCAGGCAGAAGUGUCUUCAAUUCCAAUAUCCCUCUCCCUUCCGUUUCGUGAGGGCUGUCACAACUCUGCCGCUUUUGGGGACAGACCAAAGUCUGAUGCCAGUUUGUGUGGAACGUGUAUCAAAGCCUACUUUUGUCCUGCAAAAUUCAAUGGGAAUUUUGUCUUUAAAUGUAGUGGCAGCCUGACUGGAUUUCUUCUGUUAUAAUUUAUUCCUUAGGGAGUUUAUGUCCAAAAGUACUGACUGCCUCUUGCUUCCAGUGAGUUAAACAUGAGCUGACUGCUCACUACACUUGGAAAAUGUGGUUCUUCACUGCAGAAGAUCCCAGUUUAAACAGACAGAUAUAAUUGCUCAGAAACAAAUUUUUCUUGGACUCCUGAGAAGACUGUAAUAAAUCAGGCCUGGUUUGGUUUGCUUUGAUGCAGAGGUGUGACAGUGCUUUUCCUGUAGUUGGGUUAACCCUGAAAGUUUUGUCUGUUUUGACUAUCAUGGUACAAUUUUUCUUUUAAUGGGUGGAGAACAAAUCCAGAGACAGUAUAAUUCUGAUUGCCAGAAAAACAUUCUUCAACUAAAUGGUUUUAUCACAUACUUGAUCAAUCUUUCAAAAUCCAGCCAUUGAGCAGAAUCAGCACAGACAAUUGUGUUUUUCAUAGCUUUAAAUAAUGUAUCAGAAAGAACCUUGACUCUUAAGAAAAUGCACUGCCUAUGUUGUUUUUUCAUUCUGAAGCGAUGAAGCUGCUCUGCUCCAAUUUGGAUUCAAGUGUCUUGUGCAGCACAGGGCUGUGUGCAGUACACAACUGCUGGAAUUGUUUCUUUUUUUAACUUAAGUGAUUGGCAGCCACUUGGAUGAGUCACAAUUAUGAGCCUAAUUUUAGCUGGUAUGUAUGUAUUGGGAGAAUCUACCAGAGACAGUUGCAUCUGAAGGGUUGAGCGAGGUGAAGUCAAUUUAGUUUUGGGCCUUCUUCGAAAUCAGCUUUUGUGUCUGAAUUCUGUUUCUUCUCUUUUGGUUUUGUACAGUCAUAUGUUAUAUGACCUUUCUGGUGGAAUACACCUCAUUCCUUCACCUUCAAAGAAUUUAUCAGAAGGAGACAAUUUAGAGUGACAACAUCAAUACUUCGAUUGAUGCUUGUUUGGUAUGUGUUUGACUUGUGUUUGUGUUUUGAACAUAAUGAAGUGCAGGGUUUAAGCUGCCUGUAGUGUCCCAUUUAUUAAUUUGUCUGUGCGCAGACUCUGCUGGUUUCCUCCAGCUGACCUGGGAAAUAGCAUCCAGGCAGGUGUAUUGGCAUGGAGUUUGAGAGGAGUUUAGUGUAUGCAGUCAGAGCCCUUCAGUCAUGCAGGCUGCAUUAUCUGGCUGCCAGCACUUACACACUGCUUAACAGCUGCUGCUGUUAGUUUAAGGCAGUUCUGUUGAAUUCUGCAUUUUGCUCUUUUGGUCCACCUGUAUUAAAGUAAUGAAACCUCUGGUAGGAGCUGGUUCCUUUUGUGGCAGCCUGUCAGGAAAGCAAUGUACACAUUGGUCCCUGCCUUUAAAUGCUGUGUAUGUGAGAAAGAAAAGGUGUGUGCUUUUCAUGGCACCUUGCUGUUUCCUAAUGCAUUAUUCCUGUGAGGCAAAGGUGUCAGACUGGAUUGUGCAAGGACAUGGAAGCCAAGUUGUCAUUUACUGCCUGUGUAAGCUCUGAAAGCAUUAGUAGUACCCAGGUCCCUCCUCUGCUUUGUGUUUUGCUCAGCCUCUGUGUGUGCCUAGGUAGUAAACUACCAUAUGUUGUUUAUAGAGAAUGCAGAGGCAGUGUAUAGUUUUCCACUUAAUCAGGGUGUUCCUAAUCGGGAAAUUACCCAGAGAACUAAUAAAGCCAAAUGCACUCAAUAACUACUGUUUAAGAGACACAGUAAUUCUGCUCAGCAGGAACAUCCUCAGGUGAUUUACAGGUACCUGGCCAUGUCCCAUUUUUAACUUGAAUGUGGCCUCAUUUCUCCUAGGAGAGCUUUUAAUGUUUGUCUGAGUUAUGAUGCAAGGAGUGUCUGUACAAACAACUUGUCUCACUGUCUGAUCAGUAUUGAAACUCCAUCUUUUCUAGACCAGGUGAGCAGUGUCCUCACAGCUGCUGCUGUGGCUGAGCAGCAAGCUGGGCUCUUCCUCUGGGCAGAGACACUUCUUUCAUUGCCCCAGGGAGUUUCAGCCUGUGGGCUGCUGGUAGUGA